rnacentral:rRNA from 1 species
CCUACGGGUGGCAGCAGUAGGGAAUCUUCCACAAUGGGCGCAAGCCUGAUGGAGCAACACCGCGUGAGUGAAGAAGGGUUUCGGCUCGUAAAGCUCUGUUGUUGGAGAAGAACGUGCGUUAGAGUAACUGUUCACGCAGUGACGGUAUCCAACCAGAAAGUCACGGCUAAAUACGUGCCAGCAGCCGCGGUAAUACGUAGGUGGCAAGCGUUAUCCGGAUUUAUUGGGCGUAAAGCGAGUGCAGGCGGGUGCUGAUGUCUGAUGUGAAAGCCGUCGGCUUAACCGAAGAAGUGCAUCGGAAACCGGGAAACUUGAGUGGAGAAGAGGACAGUGGAACUGCAUGUGUAGCGGUGGAAUGCGUAGAUAUAUGGAAGAACACCAGUGGCGAAGGCGGCUGUCUGGUCUGCAACUGACGCUGAGGCUCGAAAGCAUGGGUAGCGAACAGGAUUAGAUACCCUUGUAGUC